rnacentral:rRNA from 1 species
UACGUAGGGACCGAGCGUUGUCCGGAAUCAUUGGGCGUAAAGAGCGUGUAGGCGGCUUGCUAAGUCUUGCGUGAAAUCUCGGGGCUCAACCCCGAGCGGUCGUGGGAAACUGGCAGGCUAGAGUGCGGGAGAGGAGAAUGGAAUUCCUGGUGUAGCGGUGAAAUGCGCAGAUAUCAGGAAGAACACCAGUGGCGAAGGCGGCUCACUGGCCCGUAACUGACGCUGAGGCACGAAAGCGUGGGGAGCAAACAGG